rnacentral:tRNA from 1 species
AGGGGUAUAGCUCAUUGGUAUAGCAUGUGCUUGGCAUGCACAAGGUCCUGGGUUCAAUCCCCAGUGCCUCUG